GGGUGCGAUCAUACCAACACUAAUGCACUGGAUCCCAUCAGAACUUCGCAGUGAAGCGUGCUCGAGCGAGAGUAGUAAUAGGAUGGGUGACCUCCUGGGAAGUCCUCGUGUUGCACCCC
rnacentral:rRNA from 1 species